rnacentral:rRNA from 1 species
GAUUAACGCUAGCGGCAGGCCUAAUACAUGCAAGUCGAACGGUAACAGGUGUAGCAAUACAUGCUGACGAGUGGCGCACGGGUGCGUAACACGUAUGCAACCUACCUAUAACUGGGGAAUAGCCUUCCGAAAGGAAGAUUAACACCGCAUAACAUCACGAAACGGCAUCGUUUUGUGAUCAAACCUCCGGGGGUUAUAGAUGGGCAUGCGUAACAUUAGCUAGUUGGUGAGGUAAUAGCUCACCAAGGCUACGAUGUUUAGGGGGUCUGAGAGGAUGAUCCCCCACACUGGUACUGAGACACGGACCAGACUCCUACGGGAGGCAGCAGUAAGGAAUAUUGGACAAUGGGGGCAACCCUGAUCCAGCCAUGCCGCGUGAAGGAUGAAGGCCCCCUGGGUUGUAAACUUCUUUUGUACGGGAAUAAACCCCUUUACGUGUAGAGGGUUGAAUGUACCGUAAGAAUAAGGAUCGGCUAACUUCGUGCCAGCCGCCGCCGUAA